rnacentral:rRNA from 1 species
CAGCCUGCCCAGUGAUAAAUUUCAACGGCCACGGUACCCUAACCGUGCGAAGGUAGCAUAAUCACUUGUUCUUUAAAUAAGGACUCGUAUCAACGGCACCACGAGGGUUCCACUGUCUCCUUUCUCUAAUCAGUGAAACUAAUCUCCCCGUGAAGAAGCGGGGAUACUUCUAUAAGACGAGAAGACCCCAUGGAGCUUUAAACCCAAUUAUAUUCCUAAUUCCCUACAACCAUUUAAUCACUUAGGCCCCAUAUACUUGGUUUUAGGUUGGGGCGACCGCGGAGUACAACCUAACCUCCACGAUGAACGGAACAACCUCCUUAUCUAAGAACCACACCUCUAAGAAUUAGUACACUACCAUAAAAUGACCCAUUAUUGAUCAACGAACCAAGUUACCCUGGGGAUAACAGCGCAAUCCAUUUUAAGAGCCCCUAUCGCACAAAUGGGUUUACGACCUCGAUGUUGGAUCAGGAUAUCCCAGUGGUGCAGCAGCUACUAAAGGUUCGUUUGUUCGAACGAUGAAAAUCCU